rnacentral:misc_RNA from 1 species
GAUGAAGAACGUAGCGAAAUGCGAUAAGUAGUGUGAAUUGCAGAAUUCAGUGAAUCAUCGAAUCUUUGAACGCACAUUGCGCCCCUUGGUAUUCCAUGGGGCAUGCCUGUUCGAGCGUCAUUUGUACCUUCAAGCUCUGCUUGGUGUUGGGUGUUUGUCUCGCCUUGCGCGUAGACUCGCCUUAAAACAAUUGGCAGCCGGCGUAUUGAUUUCGGAGCGCAGUACAUCUCGCGCUUUGCACCCAUAACGACGACGUCCAAAAGUACUUUUUACACUCUUGACCUCGGAUCAGGUAGGGAUACCCGCUGAACUUAAGCAUAUCAAUAAGCGGAGGA